rnacentral:rRNA from 1 species
UACGUAGGGGGCAAGCGUUAUCCGGAAUUACUGGGUGUAAAGGGAGCGUAGACGGUAAUGUAAGUCUGGAGUGAAAGGCGGGGGCCCAACCCCCGGACUGCUCUGGAAACUAUGUUACUAGAGUGCAGGAGAGGUAAGCGGAAUUCCUAGUGUAGCGGUGAAAUGCGUAGAUAUUAGGAGGAACCCCAGUGGCGAAGGCGGCUUACUGGACUGUAACUGACGUUGAGGCUCGAAAGCGUGGGGAGCAAACAGG